UUUUUUUUUGUCUGUAUGCCUUUUGGAGUGGGAGAUAUGUCCUUGGACUUGAGAGUGGGAUUUCUUCAGUUUAGAGUGGGUCCCUUAUCAUAUACACGAAGUUAUACGAUAGAGUAGGGCCUAUUACACGACAGCCAAUGUACAUACGAGAGGUCUGACGUGGCUUAUAUAACUUAAAAUGGUACUGAUGUGCUCACGGCCGCAGGUUAUGCGCUGUCUAAACUAAUUCAGUCGGAUCACAUGCCAGCCUGAAGGGAAGCGGCGGCAGCAUCAUAAAUGGGAUGAAACUCAGUGCUUCAGAUAACACAUCCUAUUAUCAGCCGAUCUGCGAACAACGGAUCCUUUUUAAUUAAUGUUUUGAAGGGUAGGCAGAUUGACUAAAGUAUUGUUUUGAACGGAGCGCGCCAUCUCUCCGGGUGUGAAAAUGUUCACACGAAUGGUCUCUCGCGUCGCACUUUUUACACGCCGUCUCCCGCCGGCGGUGAGUCUGACCACAGUGGCCGGUCCAGUCCAUCCGUCUGCUCUCCCAUCGGCGUACCCCUCCCCUCCUUACUCUCCGUCCGUGCUCUCUCUCCCCUCUCUGCCCGGUACAUACAUCAGUAUGUCUUUAGCACUGGUAGUGCUAUACACCCCCUGAACGGAGACGGAGCUCGUUUAGUAUUCCGCGCACAAGGCGGCGAGAGAGAGAGAGAGAGAGAGAGAGAGAGAGAGAACGCGCACGAGAGAGAGGGAGGGGAGAAGGAGUGAAAUAAGGAGAAAAAACGAGGGUGAGAAGACAAGAAAAAUACACAGCGAGAGAGGAGAAGAGGAAAGAGGAAGAGGGGAGCGGAGAGAUACCUUAUUGCUCCCUCCCAGUCUAUCCCUCCGUGCCAUCAUCCUCAUCCCAGGUGUGUGGUGGCUGAACACAGAGCCCAGAUCACAGUGGGUGUGGAGGAGGUGACCGUCAUCCAGCCAGGCAGGUGUGUGUGAGUGUGUGUCUGUACACACACUCGGGGUCAGUCAGCUCGGCUCAGCGGACGCCACCAGGUCCGCGCUAGUGAACAGGAGGAGAGCACGGGUCACGGCCCCUCUGAGUCACGGAGAAAAGGACGUGCGUUGUCUGUCUGAACGAGUACGCGUGUAACACGAUCGUGUGUACUAGGGAGCAGCACAGCAGAGGAGACAACAGGGGGGAGAGAGAGAGCGUGCAUGUGGUGUUGGAAGAGAGGAAGGAGAAGGGAAGGGCAGAAAACUGGAGGUGACCAGGUGGAUUCAAAAGAGAAAUGAUGAAGGGAUCAAAGAAGAAUAGAUGAGAGAGAGAGAGAGAGAGAGAGAGAGAAAAAAAUCAGCACAGGAUUGGUGCUGUGAGAAAGUACAAAUUUGGUAGCACUCUCAGGAAAUCAGCAGAAAUACGUUCAACACAACAUCACACAGCACACACACCUGGAGCGCGUGGUCGGGGAGCUGAGGAGGAGGUAAUCCUUUGACAGACAGAGGGGGUGGGGUGGGGGCAUUAGAGCAAACAAUGGCAGAUAACAUUAAAGAUGACAUUGCAGAUAGGAGAUCACCCACAAAAGAAG
ensembl:lncRNA